GCCCGCCCGUCUCCGUGAAGCUGUUGUGCCGCCGUCGGCGCUAGCCAGAUGCAGCCGCCUCCCGAUUGAUUUUCCUAUCUUUGCAGUUUGGAUCAGGGAGUAGGCCUCACGUACGUAUGUGGGAUUGAGGGCCAGGAGGUUUUCUUUUCAGAAAAUUGUCGGGCAAGCUGUAAUAAAAGGGGAAUAUGAGUGGUUCUUAUGGUAUGCUCGUAACUGAAUUGAACAUGACUGUGGUCUAGUCCAUUAGAUACUUAUAACUUGACCCUUGUGUCAUUCGGAGUUUACUAAUUGUCAGUAUUUCAUGGAUAUAUAAGGCAUUACUGGGCACACGGCCUAGAGGAACUCAAGUGAACAACAAAGCUAACAGGUACACUCUCUCUCCCUCUCGGGUUAAUUCCAGAUUAGUUAUAGUGUAUGAAUCUUCAAGUAGUUGCUGCACCAGCAAAUGAUGAUAUCAUUACUCUCUGAUUUGUAUUGUAUUAAUUAGCAGAAUGUCCAUAAAAUCUUUUG